rnacentral:rRNA from 1 species
AGUGAACGCUGGCGGUAGGCCUAACACAUGCAAGUCGAACGGCAGCACAGGAGAGCUUGCUCUCUGGGCGGCGAGUGGCGGACGGGUGAGGAAUACAUCGGAAUCUACUCUGUCGUGGGGGAUAACGUAGGGAAACUUACGCUAAUACCGCAUACGACCUACGGGUGAAAGCAGGGGACCUUCGGGCCUUGCGCGAUUGAAUGAGCCGAUGUCGGAUUAGCUAGUUGGCGGGGUAAAGGCCCACCAAGGCGACGAUCCGUAGCUGGUCUGAGGGGAUAAGCAGCCACACUGGAACUGGGAAACGGUCCAGACUCCUACGGGAGGCAGCAGUGGGGAAUAUUGGACAAUGGCCGCAAGCCUGAUCCAGCCAGACCGCGUGGGUGAAGAAGGCCUUCGGGUUGUAAAGCCCUUUUGUUGGGAAAGAAAUCCAGCUGGCUAAUACCCGGUUGGGAUGACGGUACCCAAAGAAUAAGCACCGGCUAACUUCGUGCCAGCCGCCGCGGUAA